rnacentral:lncRNA from 1 species
CAGGUCUGUGGCGUGUUGGUAAUCAGACGCUGUAAGGGGAUAGAUACAGACUUACAGUUUAUCUAGGGAACAAUGAUCUGGGAUCUUCGGCAGUUAGUCGAGAUAGAGACACUAGGAGGAUCAGAGAUGAGAGAGAGCGAGAGAGAGAGAGCAAUGACUUUCUAAGCAGGGAGAUCCUAUUCAGUCAGGAUAAGAAGCUCCUCUCCUCCGCCAUGACCCGCCCUGCCACCAUCUCACUUGGACUUCUGCUCCUCCUUAUUGCCUACACAGCUGCAGGACCUGAGUCUGAGCUCCAACCCAGAGCUGUCCGGUCGAGUGCCUGUCAGGACCACAGUACUCUUCAUGACAGACUGGAUGUAGUGGAGAAGCGUGUAGAGGACACAGUCCAGAAGCUAGAGGCUGAGCUGGCUGUGCUACUGGAUGCCAUAGAGGCCCCUGAGUGGAGCCCCCUGCUGGAAACUGCUGGAAAACCUGUGGUGGACAUCCUGGACGGCCAGGGACUGGGAGAAGGUGGCGACUCCUGA